rnacentral:rRNA from 1 species
GUGUCAGCAGCCGCGGUAAUACGUAGGGUGCGAGCGUUGUCCGGAAUUACUGGGCGUAAAGAGCUCGUAGGCGGUUUGUCGCGUCGUCUGUGAAAUUCUGCAACUCAAUUGUAGGCGUGCAGGCGAUACGGGCAGACUUGAGUACUACAGGGGAGACUGGAAUUCCUGGUGUAGCGGUGAAAUGCGCAGAUAUCAGGAGGAACACCGGUGGCGAAGGCGGGUCUCUGGGUAGUAACUGACGCUGAGGAGCGAAAGCGUGGGUAGCGAACAGGAUUAGAUACCCUGGUAGUCCACGCCGUAAACGGUGGGUACUAGGUGUGGGGCUCAUUUCACGAGUUCCGUGCCGUAGCUAACGCAUUAAGUACCCCGCCUGGGGAGUACGGCCGCAAGGCUAAA